rnacentral:rRNA from 1 species
UACAGAGGUCCCAAGCGUUGUUCGGAUUCACUGGGCGUAAAGGGCGCGUAGGCGGUCAGCACAAGUCAGUUGUGAAAUCUCCGGGCUUAACUCGGAAAGGUCAACUGAUACUGUGCGACUAGAGUGCAGAAGGGGCAACUGGAAUUCUCGGUGUAGCGGUGAAAUGCGUAGAUAUCGAGAGGAACACCUGCGGCGAAGGCGGGUUGCUGGGCUGACACUGACGCUGAUGCGCGAAAGCUAGGGGAGCAAACGGG